rnacentral:antisense_RNA from 1 species
UUCCAUGGGCGGGCCUUGGCAUGGAGACCUACGGGUCUGCCGGUUUUGGUUCUACGCCGGUCUGUCGACCUGUCACUGUGCCCGCUCACCACC